rnacentral:lncRNA from 1 species
GUUAACUGGUCAGGGAAAAGAUUUCUUUUGGAACGCAGAAGCCAUCGCUGUGUGCAGAAGAAAUCCAUGACCUGGCCAUGACUUCUACAACCCGGAGGACUUGCCCGGCAUUACUGAAAAGCACAGGGGAAAGAUUCUGUGGCAGAGAAUGAUGGGAGUUGUGAUCUGUAUCUCCGUGUGCAUAAUGGUUGUACCUGGGUCUCUCCCUGUCCCUGCUCCAGGAAGGCGCUGGAUCCUCCCAAGUCCAUGGGAAGAGAUUAGGACACAAAAAAACAGACAGAAGGUGACCACAGGAGGACAUAGUGAGAAGCUGGCCAUCUGCAAGCCAAGGAGAGAGGCCUCAGGAGAAACCAAACCUGCCAGCACCUUGAUCUUAGACUUCUAGCCCUCAGAACAGUGAGGAAAUAAAUCUCUGUUGUUCAUGCC